UAGGCAUCAAAUUGGUAGGACUACCCGCUGAACUUAAGCAUAU
rnacentral:rRNA from 1 species